rnacentral:rRNA from 1 species
GUGAGGAAUAUUGGGCAAUGGACGGAAGUCUGACCCAGCCAUGCCGCGUGAAGGAUGAAGGCGUUCUGCGUUGUAAACUUCUUUUACCUAGGAAGAAACCUACGAUUUCUAUUGUAGUUGACGGUACUAGGGGAAUAAGCACCGGCUAACUCCGUGCCAGCAGCCGCGGUAAUACGGAGGGUGCAAGCGUUAUCCGGAUUUACUGGGUUUAAAGGGUGUGUAGGCGGGCCAUUAAGUCUGGGGUGAAAUCUCCGAGCUCAACUCGGAAACUGCCUUGGAUACUAUUGGCCUUGAAUUAUGUUGAGGUUGGCGGAAUAUAACAUGUAGCGGUGAAAUGCAUAGAUAUGUUAUAGAACACCGAUUGCGAAGGCAGCUGACUAAGCAUAUAUUGACGCUGAGGCACGAAAGCGUGGGGAUCAAACAGGAUUAGAUACCCUUGUAGUCC